rnacentral:rRNA from 1 species
AUCGAACGCUGGCGGCAGGCCUAACACAUGCAAGUCGAACGGUAACAGGAAGACGCUUCCUUCUUUGCUGACGAGUGGCGGACGCGUGCGUAAUGUCUGGGAAACUGCAUGAUGCCGGGGGAUGACGACUGGAAACGGUAGCUAAUACCGCAUAACGUCGCAUGUUCAUUGUUGCGGACUAUCUGGUCUCUUGCCAUAGUAUCAGCCCUGAUGGGAUUAGCUAGGAGGUGGGGUAACGUCUCACAGAGACGACGAUCCCUAGCUGGUCGGAGAGGAUGACCAGCACAACUGGAACUGGGACACGGUCAAGACUCCUACGGGAGGAAGCAGUGGGGAAUAUUGCACAAUGGGCGCAAGCCUGAUGCAGCCAUGCCGCGUGUAUGAAGAAGGCCUUCGGGUUGUAAAGUACUUUCAGAGGGGAGGAAGGGAGUAAAGGUAAUACCUUUACUCAUUGACGGUACCCGAAGAAGAAGCACCGGCUAACUACGUG